UACGUAGGGGGCUAGCGUUGUCCGGAUUUAUUGGGCGUAAAGGGCGCGUAGGCGGCCGUUUGCGUCGGAUGUGAAAGCCCGGGGCUCAACCUCGGAACGGCAUUCGAUACGGGACGGCUGGAGACCGGGAGAGGAGAGUGGAAUAGCCAGUGUAGAGGUGAAAUUCGUAGAUAUUGGCUGGAACACCGGUGGCGAAAGCGGCUCUCUGGCCCGGUUCUGACGCUGAGGCGCGAAAGCGUGGGGAGCAAACAGG
rnacentral:rRNA from 1 species